rnacentral:rRNA from 1 species
UACGAAGGGUGCAAACGUUGCUCGGAAUUAUUGGGCGUAAAGAGCACGUAGGCGGCAUUGCAAGUCGGAUGUGAAAUCUUAUGGCUUAACCAUAAAAGUGCAUCCGAAACUGCAGUGCUUGAGUACUUAAGAGGAUCGCGGAAUUCCCGGUGUAGAGGUGAAAUUCGUAGAUAUCGGGAGGAACACCAGUGGCGAAGGCGGCGAUCUGGGUAGAUACUGACGCUGAGGUGCGAAAGCGUGGGGAGCAAACAGG